AGGAUGAACGCUGGCGGCGUGCCUAAUACAUGCAAGUCGAACGAGCUCUUCGGAGCUAGUGGCGGACGGGUGAGUAACACGUUGGUACCUACCCCGAAGUGGGGAAUAACUGCCCGAAAGGGUGGCUAAUACCGCAUAAUACCGCAAGGUUAAAGCGAGUAAUCGCGCUUCGGGAGGGGCCUGCGUCCCAUUAGCUAGUUGGUAGGGUAAUAGCCUACCAAGGCGACGAUGGGUAGCUGGAUCGAGAGGUUGACCAGCCACACUGGGACUGAGAUACGGCCCAGACUCCUACGGGAGGCAGCAGUAAGGAUCUUCCACAAUGGACGAAAGUCUGAUGGAGCAACGCCGCGUGCAGGAUGACGGUCUUCGGAUUGUAAACUGCUUUUAUAUGGGAAGAUUAUGACGGUACCAUAUGAAUAAGGACCGGCUAACUACGCGCCAGCAGCCGC
rnacentral:rRNA from 1 species